GUGUAUAUAUGAAUGUGUUUCUCUCCUCUCUCUCUCUCUCUCUCUCCCUCUCUCUCUCUCUCCCCCCCCCCCAUCCCUUCUCUCAGCAUUACAUAAUUCCUCUCUUCUUCCUUCAAGGCACUAAAAAAUGUAGCACCUUCUACAUUUAGUUCUUUUUUAUUCCCUCAACUGUUAGUGCCCUCCCUCUCCAACCACCUUCUAGUUAACUACUUUGGAUUUAUUUUUAUUUAUUCUCUAUGUUUAUUCUAUUUGUAUUUGUUCUCGAUACACCUAUUCUGAAGAGACUGAUUAAUACACUCAUUGUCUCCAUGAAAAGAGAAGAGAAGCUCCUUGGGGGAAGCAAAAAGAGUGUGGAAGAAAUUUAUGCUACUUCCUGGGGGUACCCAAAAGAAGCUCUUCUCGUUGAUUCCCCAGAACUUGAGGAAUACCAUGAUUUAGGGAGGCAGCUGGCAACCUGAAAACAAAAUGCAGUAGAAAGCAGCCAAGCAGCCAGAUGCCUAGAGCGUCACGUGCAGAUGUUAGGUCGGCUUCAGCACCACUUGGCAUUUUCUUUUGACCAGCAUCAAAAGACUUGUUCUCAGAAUCACUGAACCAAUGUGUGAAUCCAAGCAUUGGAUUCUGGGUACCCAUUCUUCUUUCAGCUGCUCUCUACCUCACUCACACCCCCUAAAGCGUACAGCCCAGCAUGCCAAAAUGAAAAGUGAAAUGGUGAAUUAGUUAAAUAUACAGAGAAAUAGCUACAAGCAAGGGGUGAGAAACAUGUGCCAUGAAUAUUAAUGGAGCAUAGGCAAUUACAAUCAUUAGAGCCUACUUCCUGCGACAAACACACACAAAAAACCAAGACGGCACGUGGCAACCAGUACCUAGUCACAUAGAUCAGGCUGUUGAGAACCUGAUGAAGGUGUGGGAGUAAGCUAUUUCAAUUAGUUUAGAGAAGCCUUCAUCUGACUUUGGUUGUUAGACAUGUUUUUUGGUUAACACCCUAGGCUGCUUACUUACUUCAAAGGUUAUUUCCCUCUCUAAAAAGUUAUGAAAAUAAAAUUAACCUUAUAGCUAAACAUGUGCAAAAUAAAAGGGAAGCAAAAAAUGCAAUAAAAUUAAACAAUU